CGAGCAUUAUGAAAAUCUUGCAGAAAUGGAUAUGUGGGCCUUAGCAGUAAUGUGAACGUUUAUGCAUACAACCUACGGGGUAACUUCUCAGCCCAGCAGAGUAGUGAGCAAGCAAGCUGGAGCGAAAUGACAGCCUGAAAUAGCACAGCUGCCCAUCUAAGGUCAGACACUUCUUAUCUACCUUCUAUUUAUCUAUUUUCAGAGGUGUGUUUUACAUAUUCCUACACCACACUCACUCUGCAAGGCACAUCAGAGGGGACUGGUUUGUGGUUACACUGAGCAGAGCGGUGCAGCAGCACUCCUAGGCUCAGGGCUUUCUGCUGAACAUCCUGUUAGUCCAGAGCUCACACACCUGCAAGAAAUGCAAGCAGCCCUGCUGAUUUGCAGGGCUGAAUUCAAUUAGCUCCUAGCUGCUUAUAGGCAGUCUCAAAGGCAGGUGGAAGAGUGGUAUGGCAGUGAUUCUGUGCUGGAGCUGAACUGGGAGGAUUCUUUGGAUAACUCAGACUCACAAAGAUCAGAAAGGUUAAUUCUCUCUCAUUAUAAAGAGGUGAAUCAGUCAACCAAGGAGGCAGCUGAGAGCCAGAGCCAUCAUAAGGGAAGCGGUGGGCAAGCAUGGAACAAUGUGCUGAGCAGGACAGUCAUGCAGCAGCACAGACAGGAGAGCAUCCAUUUUCCUCCACCUCUGAGCCUCUCCUUCACUCAGCUUCUCUUCUCAGCUGCUCUCCAGUCAGCCCAGAGGGAGCCUUUGAUGGCUAGCUGCUCAUCACUGCAAGUUUACUGCCCACAUAUCUUUCAUCAGUGCCAAAGUCAGAUGAGGUAAGAACUAUUUAAAUUGGCAAGAACAUGCCCAUGUGAGCAAGACCAGAAGCAGGGGAUUCUUAUCUCUCAGUGAACUAAUACAGACCACACCUAUGCUUGAGUCAUGAAGCUGGUGUGGACACAGUCCAGCUAACUCUAAACUAGCUGAUUCAGAUGCUAAUGGCAACAGAGCUACAGAACAUGCUCUAGUCUCCAAAAUCCAUGCAAGGCCUCUACCUGUCUCGUCUCCAUACAGCUAUCAGUGCAUCAGCUGCAGUCAAAGCUUUAAGGCUGAACUACAGACAUGUCUUUCCAGAAUGGCUUAUGAAGAGAUGCUCUGUUGCAUUUGCCCUCCAUUUUCUUCUUUUCUUUGUUUUGUUUUACUAUUAUAAGACAAAAUAAACCACUUCUACCAAUGACAGUCCAGCUAACCAUCUUCAACAACUCAUUAAAGAACAGGAAGGUUGAUACGGCCUCAUUCUCAUUCAACCGUCUUUUCUUCCAGUCCCAUUCCAUCCUUGCUGUUAGUAUUUUCUAAAUUAGGGUGUGCUCACUGGUCACUUAUUUACAUGGAUGAAAAGGCUGCUGCUGAUGUGAAAUGUGCUGCUGCUUGAUUGCUUCCAUUGCUGGGAGAGUGGAGCCAGCUCAGACCUAGGCAGGCAGAUAAGCUGAGUUCAUGGGGAGGAGGCUAUGGACUGGAAAGGAGCCAACAAGAUAGUAUGACAUGGCACAAGGUACAAAAAGACACUUGAUCUGACUGGGAAGCAAGUGGCAGGCAAGCUGUUGUGAGUAAUGAUAGAGAGAGACGUUCAUAACAAAUGGCACCCUUUGAAGCAGGCCUAGCGAUGGACAUCCAGUUGGCCAAUGGGGGUCUCCCGUAGUGCAAAGCUCUGGAAAUAGCACACACUGAGUCAGAUGGGUGAGAGAGAGCAUGGAAAGAAGAGCAGAUCUGGUCAUGACAAAUGAGUCCUGAAGGAUUCAUGGCAGUCUAAUGGGAACAUAUGCAAUGCACUGUGUUUAUGAGUAGAGACUGGGAGGGCUGCACAUGUAAAGAACCAAGAGCUGGCUUCUGUUCUAGGGGAAGAGGAGGAAAGCACUGAACAGCUGUGAGGAAAUCAUGCCACAGCUAUCUGAUUUUAAGGGCAAUUUUACAAGUGAACAUACAACUGGCCUGACUCUUCCUUCAGUUACUUUGAAAUCAAUGCAGUUAUGUCAACAAAAGCUGAACUAAACUUGGUGUUCCUCUGGAUCUUCCCAAGCAAACUCCAGCUGGUGGGGUAUGAAAACAAACUGAAGAACUGACAGAAAAUGGGAACAGGAAAAGUAUCAAUUUCAUUUAGUAACAGGAGGAGAAAGGCGUUGACACAUGAGGAAACAUCAAAAGAACUUACGUACAUGUGGGCUAAGAAAUAAAGUUGGUAAUAUCUUAAAAACUGCUUCCUUGACCUGUCCGAACUGAUCCAAGAUUACAUCAGGGUGUGGAAGACCAAGAAACUGAAUCAGUGUUAGACUAUUACCUACACUCUAACCUGAAGAUGAAAUAGAUAAAAUUGGAGUAAAUUUAAUGAUAUCACCUAAAAAUAGAGACUCCAGCUGCAGGAGCUGCUGAAGAGAUAUAACAAGAUAUCCAGAUGAUAUCAGUUUAAAAAUGAUGUAAUUGCACCAUUGUUUUAGCUGUCAGUUCUCUGCCAUCUGUUGUGCAUUUGUAGUGCAUUUUCAUAGAAAAGCUUUUUUUUCUUUUGUCAGAUAGACUCAAACCAAGGAAAGGAAACCAAGUCCAUCUGGGAGCCUACGUAUGAGAAAACACAGUUUCCAUUUUCUUGCUUUGCAGUUAAAGAAAGAAAAUUGCUAAGCUUGCUUUCUUUUGUCCACUGUUCUUGUGCUGAUCACAAAAGUCUACGUUGCCCUAAACCUCUCCAGUUUCAGAGUUCAAGCUAUCCCUACUCCUGCCCCAGUUGUGAGGAGGCAACUGCAAAAGAGAAUGUAGGUUUUACCAAAGUGAAAGGACCCACCAGCAGAAAGAAGGAGCAGUUCCCUACGCAUUCCAGGUACAGCACAAAUCUGAUGUUGAGUUUAAGGUUAAAUAAAUCCCCAUUUAUGGAAAAGCUAAGUUCCUACGCUUCCAAGUCUCUUCACGCUUCAGCUUGUUGGGGAGGCCAGAAAGAAUGGAGGUUUUACGAGGGUUGAUAUGCUCUUUAUCACUGACAUUUCAUACCCUGGCUGAAAACGUUGCAGCAAGUGCAAUAAAACACUUGUAAAUACCCCAGAAUGAGGAUCAUUACAGAUGGCACUGAUAUGCACCAGGCUCACGUGGAAGUUCUUGUAUCACUGCAUGAAGGAAAAUGAAGAAGAUAGGAAUGAUAAGCUUGAAGUUUUCCUGAGCCUAUGUGACAGGCUCUGAAGCCAGCUGCUUGUGUGAACUGGUUAAAAGAAAACCACCACCAACAAAACUCCAUGUGCAGAUGAGCCAAACCUGUGAAGAAAAUCAGCAUCAGUGCUUACAUAACCUAACAUAUGCCCAGGUGAAACGUGUUAUUGCCCCAUUGCUACUCUGAGAAGCAGAAGGGUGUUGGAGUGGGAUGGUCCCUACCAACUCCAGCUGCUACUGGUGGGACUCUCAGCUACAAAAGCAAGUUUUUACUGUGUGAGGUUUGAGUGAGGCAUCUGUUUUCUCAAAUAGUGUAAGUCUUGGCACACACGGUUUUAUUUCAGAACUAUACAGCCUUACAGUUGGCAAAUAAGUGCUUUUUGUCCAGAUCUGAACUUGGAUGGCUGGAACAUGCAUCACUUGUAUUCUCUUGAGCAAAGCCAUGUUUUGCUUUCAGUAGUGCUGUUUUACCCUCCUGAUGAGUUUCAGCCCCGUUUCAUGUUGAACAGGUAAAUCAGAUCUGAAAGGACAUCAAAAGCGACCUCCUAAUGCUGAAGCUUCAAGUAUCACUCAAAAAAACUCAAUGAAUGUAUGAAAGAGAUGAAAAGCCUAGCUUUCCUUGGGUGCUUCUUGCUGCUGAGGAAGGCUUAUGCUAUUUCCAGCCAUCUCAAACCAAGUGUAAAUAAACUACAUUGUUUUCCAUCACUUGAGACAGUUCUUCUCUCCCCAGCAUUAA